AGAGUUUGAUCCUGGCUCAGAUUGAACGCUGGCGGCGUGCUUAACACAUGCAAGUCGAACGCGAAAGGGGGCUUCGGCUCCCGAGUAGAGUGGCGCACGGGUGAGUAACGCGUGGAUAAUCUGCCCUCUUGUUCGGGAUAACUGCUGGAAACGGCAGCUAAUACCGGAUAAGCUCCACCAAUUGUAUGGUGGAGGAAAGGAGGCCUCUUCAUGAAAGCUUCCGCGAGGGGAUGAGUCCGCGUCCCAUUAGCUAGUUGGUGAGGUAACGGCCCACCAAGGCAACGAUGGGUAGCCGGUCUAAGAGGAUGACCGGCCACACUGGAACUGAAACACGGUCCAGACUCCUACGGGAGGCAGCAGUGGGGAAUAUUGCGCAAUGGACGAAAGUCUGACGCAGCGACGCCGCGUGAGGGAUGAAGGUUUUCGGAUCGUAAACCUCUGUCAGGAGGGAAGAAAGCGCAUGGCGCCAAUCAGCCAUGCGUUGACGGUACCUCCAAAGGAAGCGCCGGCUAACUCCGUGCCAGCAGCCGCGGUAAUACGGAGGGGGCAAGCGUUAUCCGGAUUUACUGGGUGUAAAGGGGGCGCAGACGGCCAUGGCAAGCCCGGUGUGAAAGGCAGGGGCAUAACCCCUGGACUGCACUGGGAACUGUCAGGCUGGAGUGCCGGAGGGGUAAGCGGAAUUCCUGGUGUAGCGGUGAAAUGCGUAGAUAUCAGGAGGAACACCGGCGGCGAAGGCGGCUUACUGGACGGCAACUGACGCUGAGGCUCGAAAGCAUGGGUAGCGAACAGGAUUAGAUACCCUGGUAGUCCAUGCCGUAAACGAUGAGUGCUAAGUGUUGGGAGGUUUCCGCCUCUCAGUGCUGCAGCUAACGCAUUAAGCACUCCGCCUGGGGAGUACGACCGCAAGGUUGAAACUCAAAGGAAUUGACGGGGGCCCGCACAAGCGGUGGAGCAUGUGGUUUAAUUCGAAGCAACGCGAAGAACCUUACCAGGCCUUGACAUCCUGAUGGCGUGGGCGUAACGGCUUAUUCCCCUCGGGGCAUCAGAGACAGGUGGUGCAUGGUUGUCGUCAGCUCGUGUCGUGAGAUGUUGGGUUAAGUCCCGCAACGAGCGCAACCCUUAUUCCCAGUAGCCAGCAUUUCGGAUGGGCACUCUGGGGAGACUGCCGGGGAAGACCCGGAGGAAGGCGGGGAUGACGUCAAAUCAUCAUGCCCCUUAUGGCCUGGGCUACACACGUGCUACAAUGGCGCAUACAAAGGGAGGCGAAGGAGCGAUCUGAAGCAAAUCCCAGAAAAGGCGCCCCAGUUCGGAUUGCAGCCUGCAACUCGGCUGCAUGAAGCUGGAAUCGCUAGUAAUCGCGGAUCAGCACGCCGCGGUGAAUACGUUCCCGGGCCUUGCACUCACCGCCCGUCA
rnacentral:rRNA from 1 species